rnacentral:lncRNA from 1 species
GAUUGAAAUAAAUUAGUUGGUUUUGGUGUUAGUUUCUUUUAUCUCCCUCCUUUUUUUUUCCUGGGUCUGGAAAUCGUUUUCUUUCAUCUGAUUCUAAUUUCUGAGACAUGUCCUUCUUGUUGUUUACUAUCUGCAGUAUAGCUGCCCUUUGCUGCUGCUUCUUGUUGGAGAACUGCUAGCUGCUUCUUGGCAAAGGAGCCAUCACCUUUUGUAUACAUAUAUAAUUCUGGUUUUGUCAUUGGAUUUUGUUAUUUCUCUGCAGUUGGAUUCUUAAGACUAGAAUUCUAUCAAUUUUGUACAUAUAUAUUGUAUAACUUUUAACUCGUUAAAGUAGUUCGUGAAAUUGUAAUAUUUACUAAGAAGUUCAUAAAUUUUUAGAAUGGUUAUUUUUUUUAUAUAUCAUUUUAAAGUUAAUCUCAUUACGUGAGAGAUUUUUUUAGUGUACCUGAGCACCAUGAUAUAAUAAUUUUACUAGUUUUAUAAAACACAUUUGUUGUAGCCCUUAGGGGUGGGUUCAAAAAACCGAAAACCGAAAAAAACCGAAAACCAAACCGAACCGAAGCCGAAAAAAACCGAACCGAAAAAAAACCGAACCGAACCGAAUCUGGUUGGUUCGGUUUCGGUUUUUGAGGUCCGGAAACCGAACCGGACCGAACCGAACCGAAAAAAAAAUCAUAUAUAAAUUCUAAAAAAACAUGUAGGCGCCGGGGUUUGAACCCCUUCCCCAUAGCUUAGGAUUAGUUGCUGCAAGCCAACUUGACUGUGGGCUUUGAGUUGUUAUUAUUGUACCAAUAUAAUAUUUAUAGGCUUCUUUUAUUUAAUGCUUUAUAAAAUUUCUUAAACUUUACAAACCCUAGCCGUCUCACACUUUAUCUCACUUCCCAUUUCAGAUUUCAAACACUCCUCCGCUGCGUCCUCUCUCUGCCUUUUGCUUCCUCAGCCCCCCUCUCUCUCUCUCUCUCUCUCUCUCUCUCCUUCCUCUCUUCCUCCAAAUCACUCUCUCUCCAGUCUUCUCAUGUCCUCCUCACGGAUUCCUUUUUCCAAACCAUGAUUUUCCCUCGCCCCUUUCGAAUCAGAACCCCCUCUAAAUUGGAAGAUUCGAAUCCGGGUUUUCCGAUCUCUCACAGGUAAUUUUCGAAUCAAAACUAAUAUGAUUUAUAAUUUUAUAUUGUGAUUUACUGAAUUAAAAUGGGUUUUUCCUUUCAUUAUUUGUUGGGAUUUGCAUGUUAUAAUCUUUGCAGAUUUGUUGGGAAUUUAUAUUGUAAUUUUCGUAUUCAUUUGCAGAUUUGUUGGGAUUUUAUAUUGUGAUUUACUGAAUUAAAAUGGGUUUUUCUUUUAAUUAUUAGUUGGGAUUUUGCAUGUUAUAAUCUUUGCAGAUUUGUUGGGAUUUGGGAUUUUAUAUUGUAAUUUUCGUUUUCAUUUGCAGAUUUGUUCCAGUUCGUAUUCAUUUGCAGAUUUCUUCCAGUGCAGAUUUGCAGAUUUGUUACAGUUCAUAUUCAUUUGCACCAACACCCAAUAAGUUUCUGCAUCUUCAGUGCUCGCAAUCAAUCGUUGCAGAUUUGUUCCAAAUUAAAAAAAAAAAAUAGUAUGGAAAAAACCGAACCGGACUGAAACCGAACCGAAAAAAAUCAAAACCGAAAAAAACCGAACCGAAAAAAAACCAAAAAAAAUUGAACCGAACCGAACUGAACCGAAAUUUCGGUUCGGUUUCGGUUUUGACUAAAAACCGAACCGUUUCAAACCGAACCCAGCCCUAGUAGCCCUAUUUAACUGAAGAAUUAUAAAAAGAGAGGGUACAAAGAGAAAUUUAGUGAAUUAUGAGAUGUGUUUGAUCUCAACCUAUUUUGUCAUUAUGUAAAUUCUUUACCCUUUAGAUAUUACAACUGAAAUAAGACACUAUUUAAAAGAACGGCAACACAUAAUACUUUCUCCAAUUUUUACUAAAUUGAUAUCAGUUCAUUCUAUAAUUGUCAGUGUUUUAAAAAAUGCGCCCCGAGGAGCGCCUAGGCGGCUUUGGAGGCGGAGCGUCGGUGAAAUUGCCUUUGCCCAGUGAGAGAAGGUGAAAACUUGCCUAGACGUGGUGGAGGCGAGCCUAAGGCGGUCAAUCGGGCGUCGUUUUUGUGUAAGAGCUGCUGGAAUCUGGAAAAUUUCGGUUGAAUAUGGAAGUUGCAGACGCAGCAAUGCUGCGUGAAGAAGAUGAAUAGCACGGCGUCGUUUGCUUCGCUUUCAUUUGCUUACUUUUUAUUUUUUUAAUAUUAUUUUUUUGGCUGAUUCUUUUUCUCUUUAAAGUGACUUUCAGCAGUCCAACAUCCCAACUUCUAGCAUCCAAAGCAUAUGCUCCC